rnacentral:lncRNA from 1 species
GCCUGUGAAGGAAGAAACAAAAAGUGAAGAAUCAAAGGCUGACUCCUCUUCUUGCGAACAAGACAAGUCUCCAAAAAAGAAAAGGAAAGUUGUUAUGAGAGAACUUUCUUAAUAUUCACUGAUGCCUUAACAUUCCAUGACAGUUUUUACAAACAUUUCCAACAGUCGCAAAAGCCUCACAACCAUAUUUUCCCCAGAUUAUGUCCAAUAACUGGAAUGCCAGCCAAAUAUGUGGAUCCUGUCACAAAUGUUCCGUAUGACACUGCUCAGUCUUUCAAAAUCAUUAGGGAACUGUAUGCCAAAUACUUGGAAACAAACGGCAACAGGGAUAUUAAAGAGGUUGCCGAGUGGUUGGAGUGGCAUGAAAACAAUAGCGGCAGUCUACUAGUAAAUUUAACUACUCCUGAUGCAGCUACGUCCAGUUAAUUUUGAUCAUCUGCCUACAGGUAUUUUUGACAACCUCUUGAAAACAGCUCACAUUGAUUUGUUUGUUUAAGUGGAAUUAGUAUCAAAGUUUGAGGUUUAAAAUAAAAAUUCGAAAGAACUCUCUAGAGGAAGAACUGUUUGAAGCUUACAAGUGUCUAAAAUAGUUCAUAAUGUGAUGUGAUUGUAUACCAGCAUCGAGGCACUGAUUUGUUAGAGCUGUAUGAAUAGUGAAUUUUUCAAAAGAAGCAAAUAGCGACUAAUAUUUCCAAAUUACUAUUUUAAUAAUUUAAGUAAAUUUUUCGCAACUACGAAUAAUAAUACAAAUAAUUCAAAAUGACUUUUUUAGGUGCAAAAAUUUGCAAGUAUUAUGGAAGCCAACAAACAAGUGUGAUUAAUUUUUUAAAAAUUUCCAUUUGCUCCUACACCUGCACAGAAAACAAUGAAAUGCUAUGAUAGUAGCCAAUGCUGUUAAGAAUGUGUUUGAAGAUCCCUGGAUGCUGCCUUGACUGUCCCUGCAGUAAUGUAUCCAUUCCCAGGAUUUAAAGUUAACUGCACGGGCAGUCAAGCUAGUAUUUAAGGAUCACCAGACACACUUUUAGUAUUUCAUUUUUUUUCGUUGAUGAAAAUAUGUUUAUAAUCAUUUAUGACAGCGAUUAAAUUUGCAAGCGUCGAAUAGUGCGCAAGUCAGCUGAAUGGUAAUCAUUCUGAAUGAAAUUAGAUGAUGACACAGCGCACUGUCAAUGAUUUAAAAUUUAAGCGAGACUAAGAAGUUGCUUGGACUAUCAAGCUUUUCAGCUAUGAAAGCUCAAAUGGAAAACUUUUGGUUUAAAUUAUUGAGGUAAUGUUGAUGAGAGGAGAAUUAUUUCUCCCUUUGUCGCAAAAUGGAACAAGUUUUCAACCGUCCAUGAUUCAUACAUUGGGUACUCACCGGCAUGCAACACUGAUUUCUAAUCAUCUGAUCAAGCUUUUUACGGCGGAAUUUGACCUUGUCGCCUUGCUUACACCCUUAGCAAAGCUUGCACAUGUGUGCAUUUACACCAGCUGAUUCAGUUGACUUCAGAUUACAGAGAGAAUAAGCCACCUUGUUUUUAACCAUAGAGCGACCGUCCUACUUGCUUAUUUUAUAUCAUGGAGAGAAUUUUCGCUCAAUUUUGGAAUAUCCAAGGGCUGAGCCAUCUCCAACUCUUUGAAUUACCGUGGGCAGCAAAAUACUUUGGUUCUUUUCAAAAAAUUAAGAGAUUUCUCAGGUAACAGACCUUUAAUUUGAAUUAAUCAGGUUAAAAUCACGGAUAGUGUGCUGUAGUUAACAUGAACUGAGACUAAGAUUGAAUUAAAGUCAGACGCUAAAACCAGAAAGGGUGAAAGUGGAAAUGUCUAAUAUGAGGGAUCCCUUGAAAUGAGUGUAUGUUUCAUAUUUGAAUAUCAAAACUUUGGUCGUACUACUUAGAAAAUUUCCUUACAAAAUUUGUAAGAAACUUUGCGCCUGCUCUUGAAUGAAUUAAUUGUCGAGUAAUAAUUUGCAGCACUGCAAUGCAAUCCAGCCCUUGUGGCUCUGACCCUCUUCGUUUUUUGGUCCAAAACAAAAACCCAUGGCUCAUAAGACCGGUAUUCCUGAUGCUGUUUCGUUUGUCAACAUGUGAAGUUUGUAUUGAGAUCAAUAAAGAUUUGUUCUCGUUAAAAGUUCGUUUUGAUUUUACAGACGGCCUGUCUUGAACCUCAGUUCAGAUUUCUGAUUGAAACUUAGCACUAAGUUAGGUAUUUAUACAUACGGUCUUCAAUGAACAUCAAUCUCUUCAAAUCACCAUUAUAGACCUGUAUAACUCAAAAAGCCCCCCCCCCCCCCCCCCGGCAAAGACCUGUUUUAGAUUACAGAUAGUUACCUGACACUUGUUGUCGUCAAAUAUUAUCUGCCAGUCCUGAAAAGAGCCAUUGCAAAAUUUGUAUCAAAUAAGUGUCCGUUAGAGGAAAAAAUUUGUCGGUUUUUUCUUGUUCCGUCCUGCGAGUUGUUCAUCAGCAAUAGCAAGCAUUUGCCUGAGCUGAACACUCCCUCAGUUUUGCACUGGUACUCUUUAGAGUCUAUUUUUUACUCUUAAAUGCUAAUUUUUGGCCUUGAUUUCCGCUCAAAAUUGUAUGAACCCGGCACGAUUCCUGUUCAGUACAGUAAUUUGAACCAUAUUUAUGAAGUCAACCCGCGGCAAGUCAAAUGCCGCAUGAAGCAAAUUUUCCGCUACGUCGAAUUUUAACGUUGUCCAGUCGCAUUCCCAUAAAUUAUCCUAAAUCAUUGUAAACCUUGGAAAGGGCGCUCACGAAUGUGUGACGUUCAGCUCAUGCAGCUUUCUCGCCAGACGCACCUUGGCCAACCAGCGCCCCACGCUUUUGUGCUCAACGAUGGACUGACCACCUGUAAUGGCGCAUGAGCGCGCUGGUUAGCCGCGAUGCAUCUGACAGGAGAGGUGCAAGAAUUAGACGCCACUAAUAUUAGGCUUUGUCUUCUUAUUAUUUUAAUUUAUUUUAUUUAUAUUUAUGUAUAAAAAUAAAGAAGAUUCUCUAUUUAUUAAACUUGGAAGGUGAAUUUUUCAUUAAACAAAUGACAGAUGGAUGGUACGCAAGAAUCACUUUAUUGACUGAUAACACAUUUUAAAUACAAAUUAGGAAAGUAGACAGAUGGAGAACUUAAAGUGCGACAAUGCCGACAAUAUUGCCGGAAAAAACAUGGGUACAGUCUUCAAAUGCUUUAGAAGGUUGUGAUACAGUACUGCUGAUCACUAUUCUGCAUGAAACUACAUAAUCUGUCAACUCGCUGAGCUGAUUAAAAUAUUUUACAGUCAUCUUAGUUCAUUAACAAAAACAAGUUUAAAAAGUGAAAGAAAAAUCAAGUCUUAACAAGAAAAUUCCAAAGGAAAAAAAAAUAGUCAAGGCAAAAUUUGAGAUACUGACACUCACUUGGGUGCUGGUACCAAGAAGUAAAAACUCCAGAGGUGGCUGAUACACAAUUCAACUGAUUUCCGUGAUUACAGUUAGAAAAAGGUUACCCUCCCUCAUAAGUGGAGUAAGACUGAGUUUGUGACUACCAAGAGUAACAAGGGCCGUAUUCAUAAUAAAUUGUUCCUAAAGCAGCUCUUUUCCCUUAGGCCUAUCCUUUAUGCACACAAGGACACAUGCAGCCUAUGCGUCUACAUUGUAAUUAAAGGGGGGCUGUACUUAAAUUAGGGAUUAAAAGGACAAUUUUUAUGAGCCGCUAGGAUAAUUCAGCAGUACAACUUUGGAAAUAGAUUCUUCCGAAAAAUUCCAAUGAUUAGUCACUACAAAAAACGUAAAGUACAAAAGAAAAUACAUUGCAAAUUUGGAAAAUUUUAGGGUGGGCCUGUUUAAAUUUUUUUAAUCCUACCUUUAGGUUUAUCAAAAUUCUGAAAAUCGCAUUUGAUGUUUUGUACUGAACGAGUAUCAAAUCAUUGUAAUCCCCGAAAUCUAUCUCCAGAGUUACUCUGUCGAAUUUUACUCGAGGCUUGUAAAAGUUGUCAUUUUAAUGAUAAUACGUGAAAGGCCCCUUUAAUCACAAUAGGUCAUAAGGCCUUCCUUAGGAUAUAGCUGUUUAAGAAACGACUAUUACCACAGCUCUAAGAAAGAGUUUCCUCAAAAUAUCAUGUUUUAGUGUAGAUUUCUAAGCCAGAGGCAUGUCUUCCACAAAUGUGUCACAACAGCAGGUAAUUUUUAUACCGAUUAGGUAGAACUUAUAUGGGUCUUCCACUUGCUCUCGAUGUUGGUCUGAGCAAAAUAUUUAUUUAGCCUCAUAAAAUGUCACUGAGGGGCAAUAACUAAGAAUCAGUUACAUUUUUCAACUGUUCGUGGAUUCACAAAACAAGACUUAACACUGAUCCUCUUCUACGAAUCGAUGCAUCUUUGACCAAAGUCCAUUUUGCUGAUGAGCCCUAGAUUAUCUAAGAAUAAUAGCUGGUGGGGCUCAUCAUCAGC